CGGCAGCUGCGGCCGGGGCUGGGGCCGCACAGCGCACGCGCCCGGCGUCCCGGCGCCCCCCGGCGGGCGGAGUCCCGGGCCUCGGCCAGGACUCCCCGCCCCGCUCCUCCAAGUCCGCCGCCGCGUCUGCACAAGCGUGGUCCCGUUUGAAGCACCCGCUUCUUUCUUUCCUGGUUUCCUCUCUACUUCUCGGUUCUGUCCUAGUUUGGGCGCGAGUGGGAGGCGGGCAACAACUUGGGGCCAGCGGCGUUGGCUGCUCAGCCUCAUGGGGAUAACUUGAGCAGUCGCGUCCCAGGAGGGAGAGAAAUCAGAAGAAAUGAAAACUAGAAUCAUUUCCCCACAAAGUCGAACGACCCACUCGCGUUUAACUCCUUUCUGGGACAGUCGCCCGCAUCUCAGCACAAGCCGGAAGGACCGGGAGAGAGUGCAACUCGGCGUCUGAGCCUGGCGGCGGAGGCUGGCGGUUUGGUCCACAGCGACGCGAGACUGCGCCCUCGGGGACCCGGCGAGGGGCCAGAGCAAGCCCGCCCUGCUGCUGCGGGGGCCACGCGGGAGGGACCUUCGACACGAGCCGCGGUUUUGUUUCCAUGGAAGAAGAAAUUCACAGACCCUUGAAGCCUGUCUUAUGAAUCCCACGUUAAGCACCUCUACUGCUAGAGAAGAGAAAUGCUACAACCCUGAGGAUGACGCUUUUAAAGCCAUGUGGCUGACAGGGUCUUGGUGCUCUCGCCGGGUGUCAGGCCUGUGCCUCUGAGGUGGGAGAGCUGAGUUCAAGACAUUGGUCCACCAGAGACCUCCCGGCUCCACGUAAUAUCAAAUAGCGAAAGCUCUCCCAGAGAUCUCCAUCUCAACGCUAAGACCCAGCUCCACUUAACGAUCAGCAAGCUACAGUGCUGGACACACUCUGCCAAACAACUAGCAAGACAGGAACACAACCCCACUCAUUAGUGGAGAGACUGCCUAAAAUCAUAAUAAGGUCACAGACACCCCAAAACACACCAUCAGAUGCUGUCCCACCCACCAGAAAGACAAAUCUUAUCAAGUAUCUUUUCCAAACACAAUGCUAUGAGACUAGAUAUCAAUUACAGGAAAAAAAACUGUAAAAAAUACAAACACAUGGAGGCUAAACAAUACACUACUAAAUAACCAAGAGAUCACUGAAGAAAUCAAAGAGGAAAUCAAAAAAUACCUAGAAACAAAUGACAAUGAAAAUACAAUGACCCAAAACCUAUGGGAUGCAGCAAAAACAGUUCUAUGAGGGAAGUUUAUAGCAAUACAAUCCUACCUCAAGAAACAAGAAGAAUCUCAAAUAAACAACCUAAACUUACACCUAAAGCAAUUAGAGAAAAAAGAACAAAAAAACCCAAAUUUAGCAGAAGGAAAGAAAUCAUAAAGACCAGAUCAGAAAUAAAUGAAAAAGAAAUGAAGGAAACAAUAACAAAGAUCAAUAAAACUAAAAGCUGGUUCUUUGAGAAGAUAAAGAAAAUUGAUAAACCAUUAGCCAGACUCAUCAAGAAAAAAAGGGAGAAGACUCAAAUCAAUAGAAUUAGAAAUGAAAGAGGAGAAGUAACAACUGACUGCAGAAAUAUAAGGAUCAUGAGAGAUUACUACAAGCAACUAUAUGCCAAUAAAAUGGACAACCUGGAAGAAAUGGACAAAUUCUUAGAAAAGCACAACCUUCCAAAACUGAACCAGGAAGAAAUAGAAAAUAUAAACAGACCAAUCACAAGCACUGAAAUUGAGACUGUGAUUAAACAUCUUCCAAGAAACAAAAGCCCAGGACCAGAUGGCUUCACAGGCAAAUUCUAUCAAACAUUUACAGAAUAGCUAACACCUAUCCUUCUCAAACUCUUCCAAAAUAUAGCAGAGGGAGGAACACUCCCAAACUCAUUCUGCAAGGCCACCAUCACCCUGAUACCAAAGCCAGACAAAGAUGUCACAAAAAAGAAAACUACAGGCCAAUAUCUCUGAUGAACAUAGAUGCAAAAAUCCUUAACAAAAUACUAGCAAACAGAAUCCAACAGCACAAAAAAGGAUCAUACACCAUGAUCAAGUGGGGUUUAUCCCAGGAAUGCAAGGAUUUUUCAAUAUACGCAAAUCAAUCAAUGGGAUACACCAUAUUAACAAAUUGAAGGAGAAACCAUAUGAUCAUCUCAAUAGAUGCAGAAAAAGCUUUUGACAAAAUUCAACACCCAUUUAUGAUAAAAACCCUCCAGAAAGUAGGCACAGAGGGAACUUACCUCAACAUAAUAAAAGCCAUAUAUGACAAACCCACAGCCAACAUUGUUCUUCAUGGUGAAAAAUUAAAACCAUUUUCUCUAAGAUCAGGAGCAAGACAAGGUUGUCCACUCUCACCACUAUUAUUCAACAUAGUUUUGGAAGUUUUAGCCACAGCAAUCAGAGAAGAAAAAGAAAUAAAAAGAAUCCAAAUCAAAAAAGAAGUAAAGCUGUCACUGUUUGCAGGUGACAUGAUACUAUACAUAGAGAAUCCUAAAGAUGCUACCAGAAAACUACUAGAGCUAAUCAACGAAUUGGUAAAGUAGCAGGAUACAAAAUGAAUCCACGGAAGUCUCUUGCAUUCCUACACACUAAUGAUGAAAAAUCUGAAAGUAAAAUUAAGGAAACACUCCCAUUUAUCAUUGCAACAAAAAGAAUAAAAUACCUAGGAAUAAACCUACCUAAGGAGACAAAAGACCUGUAUGCAGAAAACUAUAAGACACUAAUGAAAGAAAUUAAAGAUAAUACAAACAGAUGGAGAGAUAUACCAUGUUCUUGGAUUGGAAGAAUCAACAUUUUGAAAAUGACUCUACUACCCAAAGCAAUCUACAGAUUCAGUGCAAUCCCUAUCAAACCACCAAUGGCAUUUUUAACAUAACUAGAACAAAAAAAUUCACAAUUUGUAUGGAAACACAAAGGACCCCAAAUAGCCAAAGCAAUCUUGAGAAAGAAAAACAGAGCUGGAGGAAUCAGGCUCCUGGACUUCAGACUAUACUACAAAGCUACAGUAAUCAAGACAGUAUGGUACUGGCACAGAAACAGAAAUAUAGAUCAAUGGAACAGGAUAGAAAACCCAGAGAUAAACCCACACACAUAUGGUCACCUUACUUUUGAUAAAGGAGGCAGGAAUAUACAAUGGAGAAAAGACAGUCUCUUCAAUAAGUGGUGCUGGGAAAACUGAACAGCUACAUGUAAAAGAAUGAAAUUAGAACACUCCCUAACACCAUACACAAAAAUAAACUCAAAAUGGAUUAAAGACCUAAAUGUAAGACCAGACACUAUAAAACUCUUAGAGGAAAACAUAGGCAGAACACUCUAUGACAUAAAUCAC